rnacentral:rRNA from 1 species
AUUGAACGCUGGCGGCAGGCCUAACACAUGCAAGUCGAGCGAGAGGCGGACGGGUGCGUAAUGUCUGGGAAACUGCCUGAUGGAGGGGGAUAACUACUGGAAACGGUAGCUAAUACCGCAUACCAUCAGAUGUGCCCAGAUGGGAUUAGCUAGUAGGGGGGGUAACGGCUCACCUAGGCGACGAUCCCUAGCUGGUCUGAGAGGAUGACCAGCAACACUGGAACGGAGACACGGUCCAGACUCCUACGGGAGGCAGCAGUGGGGAAUAUUGCUCGAUGGGCGAGAGCCUGGUGCAGCCAUGCCGCGUGUGUGAAGAAGUCCUUCGGGUUGUAAAGCACUUUCAGCGGGGAGGCGUUACCCGCAGAAGAAGCACCGGCUAACUCCGUGCCAGCCGCCGCGGUAAUUC